rnacentral:lncRNA from 1 species
GCAAAUUUCAUCAUCGUGUCUGCACAUACCAAACAGUUAAGGUAAACUUAUGUAAUUAUGUUGACUUCAAAAACCAAGAAAAGUGAAAGAGUUUCUGGUGAUGUUGCAGUAGUGAUAAAUGAUAGGAGUGUAAUGACAAUUUAAGUAUCACAUAGUACAGAUAAUAAAAUCUACAUCGAGUAAAGAAACCAUUAUGCAAACAACUGAAAAUAACAAUGUGGUUCUAGUUUUGUGUGCUAAUGGUUACAGACUUACAGUGAUACAUACAACAGCACAAGCAAAAAUACAUGCACUUUUAUAGCACAUCAAUAUAUCAGCCUUACUGAACAUGCAAACAUGCCAUAACUCGUAUUUGAGAAGGUAACAUACUGAAUCUAACAAUCUGCUGUUAAUGUAAACCAAAGUAGAGACCAUAAAUGAAACACAAUAGCAAAGAACAAUUACUCCUUCACAUUAAUUCAGAGCUAGUAUGAUAUGUUUCUUAUGUAUUACUUUUUAGCAGAAACUAAGUGAGCAUAACAUAUUGCAAAAACUUGCAUCUCAUAUGCCUCACAACUUACAUGGUAUUUGACGUCCCCA